CCGAUGUAGCUCAGAUGGUAGAGCAACUGAUUCGUAAUCAGUAGGUCUGGGGUUCGAUUCCCCACAUCG
rnacentral:tRNA from 1 species